rnacentral:tRNA from 1 species
GCGAGCGUGGUCUAGUAUGGUCUAGGACGGAAGCCCCCCAAGCUUCCAACCCGAGAUGGCUCGUUACUGCAGAACGGGCACAGGAAUUCAAAUCCCGGCGCUCGCACCA